rnacentral:rRNA from 1 species
CCCCCACAAUGGGACUGAGACACGGGCCAUACUCCUACGGGAGGCAGCAGCGGGGAAUAUUGCGCAAUGGACGGAAGUCAGACGCAGCGACGCCGCGUGGGUGAGGAAGGCCUUCGGGUUGUAAAGCCCUUUUCAGGGGAGCGAGAAAGGACGGUACCCUUGGAAUAAGCGUCGGCUAACUACGUGCCAGCAGCCGCGGUAAGACGUAGGACGCAAGCGUUAUCCGGAUUUACUGGGCGUAAAGCGCCUGUAGGCGGUCAAGUAAGUCGGAUGUGAAAGCCCCGUGCUCAACGCGGGGAAGCCAUUCGAUACUGCGUGACUAGAGAACGGCAGAGGGAAACGGAAUUUCUGGUGUAGCGGUAAAAUGCGCAGAGAUCAGAAAGAACACCGAUGGCGAAGGCAGUUUCCUAGGCCGCAUCUGACGCUGAGAGGCGAAAGCUAGGGGAGCAAACAGGAUUAGAGACCCUGGUAGUCCUAGCUGUAAACGAUGGAUGCUAGGUGUGGGCCGGAAAGGUCCGUGCCGUAGUUAACGCGAUAAGCAUCCCGCCUGGGGAGUACGGCCGCAAGGCUAAAACUCAAACGAAUUGACGGGGACCCGCACAAGCAGCGGAGCGUGUGGUUUAAUUCGAUGCUACACGCAGAACCUUACCUGGGCUUGACAUGUAGGUGGUAGUGAAGUGAAAGCGGAGCGACCCUUCGGGGAGCUUACACAGGUGCUGCAUGGCUGUCGUCAGCUCGUGCCGUGAGGUGUCGGGUUAAGUCCCGUAACGAGCGCAACCCUUGUCCUUAGUUACAAGUGUCUAAGGAGACUGCCGGUGACAAACCGGAGGAAGGUGGGGAUGACGUCAAGUCAGCAUGGCCCUUAUGUCCAGGGCGACACACACGCUACAAUGGUCGGUACAAUGGGCAGCGCAGCCGCGAGGUGAAGCGAAUCCCAACAAAGCCGAUCCCAGUUCGGAUUGCAGGCUGCAACCCGCAUGCAUGAAGCCGGAGUUGCUAGUAACCGCGCGUCAGCCAUAGUGCGGUGAUACGUUCCCGGGUCUUGUACACACCGCCCGUCAC